UACGUAGGGACCGAGCGUUGUCCGGAAUCAUUGGGCGUAAAGAGCGUGUAGGCGGCCCGAUAAGUCUGGUGUGAAAUCUUGAGGCUCAACCUCAAGCUGUCAUCGGAUACUGUCGGGCUAGAGUCCGGAAGAGGAGAGUGGAAUUCCUGGUGUAGCGGUGGAAUGCGCAGAUAUCAGGAGGAACAUCCGUGGCGAAGGCGGCUCUCUGGUACGGUACUGACGCUGAGACGCGAAAGCGUGGGGAGCGAACAGG
rnacentral:rRNA from 1 species